rnacentral:lncRNA from 1 species
GAUGCCAAUUUCAAUCUGGUUAGUAUAGUUGUUGCUUAUUUCAAAUAUCUGCAUCUUUUUUACUAUUAUGUUGAUCCUUUUUCCUUUUCCGAAGGAUACCACUACUGGUCUUGCUUUUCCAAAGCCAACAUUUUUGCUUGGACUUACAUAGGAAGAUCCCCAACUAACUGAAAAAUCUCUUCCUGAUGUGGAUAUUGGCGAUGAACCUACGGACGAGGACAAAAGGUCUUCCUCGCACCAGUUCCUGCCACAUACAAUGAUGCUUUGGUGCCCCCAUAUAGGAAAAGCAAGCGGCC